rnacentral:lncRNA from 1 species
GUUUAGUGGGGGCCUUCCUCUCCUCAUUUCUGUGUACCUGCAUUUACAAGGAAUGGUUGAGUAACGACCCAUCGAUGAGUAUUUUUUUUUUUUUUUUGAAGGACUAUAGUGUAAGGGAUGGGUCCGAGGAAAUGCGGCUCUGAUACCAACUGUAACGACCCCGUAAAUAUUAAAAUGAAAUGAGUAUUUAAAUAUAUCAAAUGCGGAAGCGAGAUCAAAAAUUCAG